rnacentral:lncRNA from 1 species
CACCAUUCUCUACGCAUGAAAGGCCUAGGGAACCUUUUGUCAAACACUUGCUGCUCAUUUGUUUUCUUUUGGAUUCAAAUUCAACCCACCCUCAAAUUGUAUGAAAAUGCCAGGAUUUUGUAUUGUUUAUAUGAUUUUUGAAGUGGGUAUUGUGUUUGAAUAUGAGGGUUUUUCUUCUUUUUUUACGUAUAUUAUUAUUUUGUUAUGGAUUAGGAGAGGACUAAAUAGAAGGUGAUGUGCAAUUGAGUUGAUGAUGGGAAUUAUUUAUAUCAUAUGUUUAAAAUACAUUACCUGAAAGGUUAAAGUCAAAAUAUGGCAUCACUGCAUGUGAUUUUAUAAUAGCAACAACUCAAGAACUGAGAAAUUAGGCAAGAAGCAGCAAUCCCAUAACAGGGUAUUGGCAGACAACAAAGCAGCAAGUCAAAAGCAAUACGAAAACUGAGUUACUCCUCAAUUCGAUAAAGUCCAACCAGCCAGUGGGUCUACGGUUUAAAGCUUGGAGCCCAUUCCAUGUCUCCACAAACUGAUAUGAAGACUACACAGCGUGGCAUACAAACACUGAAUUAUUUCUUAGAUUCUUCUUAUACACUCACACACACUCUAGUCUUAGCUUGAAAAGACAAAGAAAAAUGAUAAUAUAACUACAGAUUAAUUGAACAAACUGAAGCAUGAACUUUGAAGAUGGGCUGUCAUAUCUCGUGUAGAUCCCCCAUUGCCAUCCCUACACACGAUAUGGGUUAAAACUCAGAAGACCCUUGUUGUCUGCUGUGUCUAUGCCAAGAAGAAAUUAAAAAAAAAAAAAAAAGAUUGAAAUCUUGGGUGUUGAAGGGGACGAGGGAAAGGGACAGAGGGGCAUCAUGAUAUUGAGUGCCUUUGUCUGAAGCGUUUGGCAUCAGUCACCUGGAAGAAUGGAGAGGUGUUCGGGGGAGAUACCAGCCAGAUACGAUAGUAGUGUGUCUUUGACUGUGGCUUAAUAAAAUGAGUAGUUAGGCAAAAGACAAUGGGCAGCUACGAAUGGAGAGGAAGAUUAUUAAUAAAUAUAAUAUAAAUAGAAAGACAGAUAGGACUAGUGCUACAGAGAAUGAUUGCUUUCGAGUUGUCUGAAACUUUGAUUAAGCUCAAAGAAAU